rnacentral:rRNA from 1 species
UACGUAGGAUGCAAGCGUUGUCCGGAAUUAUUGGGCGUAAAGAGCGCGUAGGCGGUUUGACAAGUCAGAUGUGAAAGAGGCCGGCUUAACCGGCAAGGGUCAUUUGAAACUGUCAGACUAGAGUGCAGCAGAGGAUAGUGGAAUUCCCGGUGUAGUGGUGAAAUGCGUAGAUAUCGGGAGGAACACCAGUGGCGAAGGCGACUAUCUGGGCUGCAACUGACGCUGAGGCGCGAAGGCUAGGGUAGCAAACAGG